rnacentral:rRNA from 1 species
AUGGUUGCCGGCCCGGAGGUCAUGCAUCAGGUCGUUCCGAUGCUGGAGGCGUCGUUCCGCCGGUGCCCCGUCAGAGGGGUCGAGGAGGUCGUCGUCGGGGUCGGGGUGUCGUCGCCGCCGCCGCCGCCGGUCGAUUCGCAAGCGCAGGUCGACCUCGAGGUGCCCGAUCUGGUUAAGACGCCUUUGGAGACGCUACAGUUUGUCCCCAAGAUUAGAUCUGGGAGCUUCGCUGAUAUUGGACCUAGGCGGUACAUGGAAGAUGAGCAUAUCAGAAUUGAUAAUCUUUCUGGUCAUCUUGGCUCGCUGUUGCUGUGCCCGUCCCCUAAUGCCUUCUAUGGGGUUUUUGAUGGCCAUGGAGGUUCAGAUGCAGCAGCCUACAUGAAAAGGCAUGCCAUGAGGUUGUUCUUUGAGGAUUCAGAGUUCCCAGAAGGGUUACAAGAAGAUGAUUUUUUUUCUGAAUCUGUUGCGAACUCAAUCCGCAAAGCGUUCUUGAGUGCCGACCUUGCUCUUGCAGACGAUUCAGUCAUCAGCCGAUCGUCGGGAACCACAGCUCUUACAGCUUUGAUCUUUGGAAGGCAGUUGUUGGUUGCAAAUGCUGGGGAUUGCCGAGCAGUUCUAUGCAGGAAAGGCAUGGCUAUGGAGAUGUCCCGUGAUCACAGGCCAACAUAUGAAGCAGAGCGCCAAAGGGUCACUGAGUGUGGGGGAUACAUUGAAGAUGGCUACCUCAACGGAGUAUUGUCGGUUACUCGUGCUCUAGGGGAUUGGGACAUGAAAAUGCCUCAAGGCUCGCAGUCACCUCUGAUCGCCGAGCCAGAGUUCCAGCAGACCGUCCUCACGGAGGAUGACGAGUUCCUCAUCAUAGGCUGCGACGGGAUAUGGGACGUCAUGACCAGCCAGCAGGCGGUGACCCUGGUCCGGAAGGGGCUCCGACGGCACGAUGACCCCGAGAGGUGCGCGAGGGAGCUCGCCAUGGAGGCGAAGAGGCUCCAGACCUUUGACAACCUCACGGUGAUCGUCAUUUGCUUUGCCUCGGAGCUUGGCGGGUGCCUGCGGUCUUCGGAGGAGGCGUCAUCGAGGAGGAUAAGAUCUUGCAAGAGCCUGUCUGCUGAGGCCCUUUGCAACCUGAGGAGACUGCUGGAGUCUGAUGAGUAG